UAGCUUCAAACCUCAAACUCGCACAACUUUGCAUCUUUAUUCAGGUGUUAAUCUGGAAUAAGUAAUUGAUUUAACGGUUAUGAAACCAGGACUUUAGUAUCAAUUGAUGCUGUAAGAGAUGCUGGUUACAGUUAGCAGGACAAACUGGGAGGUGAAGUAGUGUCAUAUUAUGUUAUGCUUUCUUGGUCAUUAUGACUGAGACUUGAUUUCAGUUUCAACAAUAUCCAUCUAUAAAUCCAAAUGCCUUUUAUCUGAACAAACAAACUACAGGCUUUUUUUUUGUCUGUGGUGGCAGUCUGUCUGUCGACUCAUUUUGGAUGUAUCGACACUUUUAAACAUCCAAUUGAGUUUUUAAACUGUUCUCCUUAAGUUUUGUUGCGGUAUAUAUGAGAAGUUUAUUUGCUAUGUAGUGUGUGAAUGAAUAGAUGGUGUAAUUUCUCUAAUCCAGAUUACGUCUGUGUUAUUCUAUAAACUGUACAAAUAUACAUGUUUUUGUUAAUGUGCAUACCUGGAUUCAUGAGUUACUGGCAUAUGAAUUGUAAUUUACUAGUGCAGUUAAUCAUAUCGAAGUAAUUUCAAAGCAGUCUGGUGGUGUUUAUUAGAUUAUAGACACUUUCAGGUAAAAUUCCCACUAAGUUUUACAUUUAUUUGAGCAUAUCAGCAUCAGUAACUAACUGUGGGAUGUUGCUAUUUCCUUCAGAUGAACGUUUGGCUAAUGUUCACAUGGGCUUCAGGAUACUAUGUGACUAUCAGGCACCUGAUUCUUGGGAUCAGGUGCAUUAGACAGGUGAAAUCUCCUCACACAGUUUGUGCCUGCCAUCACGAUUACAUAACAUUGGCUAGUGUUUCUAUAAUAGGCUCUGUAAAUCUGACGAGAAUAAUCACACUAGCACCAGAACCCUCUGAUGGGGUGAAAAUGGCCACGUCUGGAACAUUUGGACUGCCUUGUGUCAGUCCUGAUGUACACUGUUUUACAAAUAUUUCUUCAUGUAGACAUGGGUCUACCCUGUGUGACCUUCUCUGGGAAAGCAAGGGUUUGUCUUACAGGCUGGUAAUUCUUAAAUCCUUGAUUUGAAAGGACAGGGAUUUGCUGCCUUAUGCUCCUCACAUCCAACUGCUUUGAGGCAAAGCUGUGGAAAAUGA